rnacentral:rRNA from 1 species
GCACCACAACGGGUGGAGCUUGCGGUUUAAUUGGAUUCAACGCCGGAAAUCUUACCGGGACCGACAGCAAUAUGAAGGCCAGGCUGAAGACUUUGCCGGAUUAGCUGAGAGGUGGUGCAUGGCCGUCGUCAGUUCGUACUGUGAAGCAUCCUGUUAAGUCAGGCAACGAGCGAGACCCACGCCCACAGUUGCCAGCGUACUCUCUGGAGUGACGGGUACACUGUGGGACCGCCGCUGCUAAAGCGGAGGAAGGAAUGGGCAACGGUAGGUCAGUAUGCCCCGAAUAUCCCGGGCUACACGCGAGCUACAAUGGUUGGUACAAUGGGUAUCUACCCCGAAAGGGGACGGGAAUCUCCUAAAACCAAUCUUAGUUCGGAUUGAGGGCUGCAACUCGCCCUCAUGAAGCUGGAAUCCGUAGUAAUCGCGUUUCAACAGAACGCGGUGAAUACGUCCCUGCUCCUU